GUGUCACCGAGUUUCUGUCCUGCACAAGCUCUUUACUGAAAUUCCUCUGCCACGGAUUUGAGACUUUAAGAGUCAGAUUUGAACAAGAUUACAGACUGAAAGUGCAACGUCCACAGUGCAGAAUCUCAGCCACUUUAACACACACAAGUUUCAUUUAACAUGUUCAGUUUUUGCUAUUUUGACACUGAACCAGCUGCAGCGUCGUUUUAUUUUAUUUCCGAUAAACAGCAGAUGUUCCUCUCCAGGGAGCGAGAUGUGACCGGCCUUUUCGACAACCAUUAACCCCAAAAAUUAAUCAUUGCAGGGGUCGUAGUUUAUUUGUGUUUGAGCAAUGUCAGAACACAGGGUGCGAGACUUUACGAGGUGUUAAGAAGAAGAGGACGACGACGUGGGACAGAUCAGGACUGAAAGAGAAGAAAACAUGGGUUUUGCAGAUCUUCUAGAAGAAGUCGGUGGACUCGGACGCUUUCAGCUGAUCCACAUCACACUGUUGUCCAUCCCGGGUCUCCUGAUGGCCAGUCAGAAUUUACUCAAUAACUUCACGGCAGGAAUCCCGUCGCAUCACUGCACCAUCCCCAACCUGACGUCCGCCAUGAACCUGUCCGUGUCUGAGGACGACGAGAUCUCUCUGCUGAGAGCCUUCAUUCCUGAGGCCCAGUCUCAGCUCUCAAAAUGCAGCAGGUACGUUCAGCCCCAGUGGCACCUGAGCGGACGAAAUCACACUCACUCUGGGAAUCUGAACUUGACUGAAGUGGAGACAGAGAGCUGCGUGGACGGAUGGACUUACAAGAGGACGGAGUUUAUCUCCACGAUCGUGUCCGAGUGGGAUCUGGUGUGCAGUCUCCGGCCACUCAAACAGAUGAGUCAGACCAUCUACAUGGGCGGAGUUCUCACAGGUGCCAUUAUUUUCGGAGGGCUCUCAGACAGGUUUGGGAGGAAGGUGUUACUCACCUGGUCGUAUUUUCAGUUGGCUGUGUUGGGGACCUUCACUGCUUUUUCUCCAUCGUACCUGGCCUACUGCACCUUCCGCUUCCUCACCGGCAUGGCUGUGUCCGGGGUGAUCCUCAACACCGUGUCCCUCAAGGUGGAAUGGAUCCCCACGAAGGCCCGCACCCUGGUGGGUUCCCUCUCCUCCUUGUUCUUCACCUUUGGUCAGAUGAUUCUGGCAGGAAUUGCGUACAGUCUGAAGGACUGGAGGAAACUGCACGUGGCCGUCUGCUCCCCCUUUUUCAUCACGUUCCUCUACAGCUGGUGGUUCUCGGAGUCGGCGCGAUGGUUGGUGUUGAGCGGCCGCUCGGGUGAAGCUCUGCAGCAGCUCCACCGUGUGGCCAGGAUCAACGGCAAGCACGAAGCGGUGGAGAAAAUCACACUGGAGGUGCUGCAGUCACACAUGCAGAAAGAACUUCAGUCCAGUAAGACGGUGUUCACGGUGUACGACCUGCUGCGCACUCCCGUCAUGAGGAGGAUCUCCCUGUGCCUCAUAGCCGUCUGGUUCUCCACCAGUUUUGCGUAUUACGGUCUGGCUAUGGACCUGCAGAAGUUCGGCGUGAACAUCUACCUGAUGCAGAUAAUAUUCGGGGUGGUGGAUUUUCCUGCUAAACUGGUGGCUCUGGUCAUGUUGAGCUUUUUGGGUCGGCGUUUAACUCAGGGCACGUGUCUGCUCGCAUCCGCCUCCGUCAUCUUCACCAACAUCUUCAUCCCUAAAGACAUGCAGAUCUUGAGGACGACGCUGGCUGUGCUGGGGAAAGGGUUCACCUCCGCCUCCUUCACCUGUGUGUACCUGUUCACUGGAGAACUUUAUCCUACAGUCAUCAGACUGGGAUGGGUUUCGCCUCCACUAUGGCUCGUAUCGGCUCCAUGGCAGCUCCAGCGGUUCUUAUCCUUGAUGAAGUGUUCCCUGCGCUGCCCAGCGUUGUUUACGGAGCGGCGGCUGUAAUCGCCGGAGUCACUGCGUUUCUGCUUCCUGAAACUCUGAACGUGCCGCUGCCUGACACCAUCGAGGACGUGGAGGAGAAAUGGUCAAAGAAAGCGCGCAGGUUUCAGGAGCAGGUGCAGCGCGAGACCCUGGCACUCGACACACUCCGUCACGCUGCAGAGGAGAGUGAGGAGCGACGGUCGAGUGGACUCAACGCUCUCUAACACACUCUCUAACACACUCUCUAACGCUCUCUAACACACUCUCUACACACUCCGUUUAUCACUCCUUUUAUUCACACUGAUCCUGCGUCAGGCUUUAGCCUUCCUGUAGUGUACAAGAGACGAAAAUAAAAAGAAUGGAAACAUCACAGUCA